CCUCCCCAGUGCCGAGCACAGGGGCCCCAUCCCUGCCCGGCUCCUGCUGGCCACACCAGUGCUGACACAAGCCCGGGGGCUGGUGGCCUCCUUGGCCACCCGGGCACUGCUGGCUCAUGCCCAGCCGGCUGUCAGCCAGCACCCCCGGGGCCUUCUCCGCCGGGCACUUCCCAGCCCCUCUGCCCCAGGCCUGGGGUGAUGCCUGGGGUUGGUGUGACCCAAGGGCAGGACCCGGCACUUGGCCUUGUUAAACCUCACACAACUGGCCUCGGCCCAUGGAUCCAGCCUGUCCAGGUCCCUCUGCAGAGCCUUCCUGCCCUCCAGCAGAUCAACACUCCUGUUCAACUUGGUGUCACCUGCAAACUUGCUGAGGGUGCACUCAAUCCUCUCAUCCAGAUCAUUGAUAAAGAUAUUAAACAAGACUGGCCCAAAAAUAGUGUAGUAAGAAGUGGCAAUGAAAUAAUAUCACACAAUGAACAUAUGAAAAUAUGAACAUCAAUUUUACAUGUUACAUACAAGCAUAGUGAAGGCCUGAGAGCACAGAAAAAAACACAAUUUCCCACUUAGCUCUGCUGAGCUUGCACUGAAUCAGAAAUGUGGGAAGACAUUCCUGAACUUUUCAAGAUUUAACUGCAGCAUCUGGAAAGUCUGUUCUGAAGCACACUGAUCUCAAGGACUCCAGGAAAUUUGCACAUACACAAUCAUUUUGCAUUUACCUCAGAUCUCACCUAUGUGGAAAGCAAAGUUUAUUUGCCCACAUCGCAUUCCUAGUGAGAAACUAUUACUGCCAUCUUUAUGGUUUUGCUUCUUGUUCUUUGGGUUUUUUUUUUAAUACAGGAAGGAAAUGGAAGGACGUCAGGUCUAAGGUGACUGCUCUGUAAUACAACACAUUUUUAUUCCAUAUGGAAAAGGAAUGCCAGGUUGUUCAAAUACCAAACAUGUUCUUCCUCUCACCCUGCUGCAGUAACACUUGUUACUUCCCCUUAAAAAGAUGCUCAGUCUCAGGGUGUGUUUCGGCAUGAAGAGGAAUGCGUGAAGUGGAACCGUUCAUAAACGGCUGUCACUGCAAGGGGAGAUGCUGCUGUUAUGGGAGACGAUGCCUAAAUAACCAAGAACACAUGGAAUGAGUUUCUAAGAUUCCUCCUCUGCUGGUGAUCCUUCCUUGUCCGCUGCUGGCAAAGCAUGAACCCAAAUGGAUGCUGAUGUUAGGAGAGGCUGUCUUCUUACCUUUUAUGAAUACCAUGAACACCAUGAACUGCGCGUUCAUUUGUCCCAAACUAACUCACCGCUGCUAUCCCUUCUUUCAAAGUAUCAUUUGUCUUGUU